UACGGAGGGGACUAGCGUUGUUCGGAAUUACUGGGCGUAAAGCGCACGUAGGCGGAUUUGUAAGUCAGGGGUGAAAUCCCGGGGCUCAACCUCGGAACUGCCUUUGAUACUGCAAAUCUCGAGUCCGGAAGAGGAGAGUGGAAUUCCUGGUGUAGCGGUGAAAUGCGUAGAGAUCAGGAAGAACAUCGGUGGCGAAGGCGCUCUGCUGGACCAUAACUGACACUCAGGGACGAAAGCUAGGGGAGCGAGUGGG
rnacentral:rRNA from 1 species